rfam:Xenopus tropicalis strain Nigerian Chr07_contig_3876, whole genome shotgun sequence.
CGCAGUUCUUGCUUCAACAGUGCUUGAACGGAACUCG